rnacentral:rRNA from 1 species
GAUCCUGGCUCAGGAUGAAAACGCUGGCGGCGUGCUUAACACAUGCAAGUCGAACGAAGCACUUCAUAAAGCUUGCUUUAAGAAGUGACUUAGUGGCGGACGGGUGAGUAACGCGUGGGUAACCUGCCUUACACAGGGGGAUAACAGUUAGAAAUGACUGCUAAUACCGCAUAAAACAGCAGAGUCGCAUGACUCAACUGUCAAAGAUUUAUCGGUGUAAGAUGGACCCGCGUCUGAUUAG